rnacentral:rRNA from 1 species
AGAGUUUGAUCCUGGCUCAGGAUGAACGCUAGCGGCAGGCUUAACACAUGCAAGUCGAGGGGCAGCACGAGGUAGCAAUACUUUGGUGGCGACCGGCGCAAGGGUGCGUAACGCGUGAGCAACAUGCCCAUAACAGGGGGAUAACCCGGAGAAAUCCGGCCUAAUACCCCAUAGCAAUUAUAGGUUGCAUGAUUUAUAAUUUAAAGCUUCGGUGGUUAUGGAUUGGCUCGCGUGACAUUAGCUAGUUGGGGAGGUAACGGCUCACCAAGGCGACGAUGUCUAGGGGUUCUGAGAGGAAGCGCCCCCACACCGGAACUGAGACACGGUCCGGACUCCUACGGGAGGCAGCAGUGAGGAAUAUUGGACAAUGGGCGGAAGCCUGAUCCAGCCAUGCCGCGUGCAGGAAGACGGUUCUAUGGAUUGUAAACUGCUUUUGUAGGAGAGCAAUAAGAUCUACGAGUAGAUUGAUGAGAGUAUUCUACGAAUAAGCAUCGGCUAACUCCGUGCCAGCAGCCGCGGUAAUACGGAGGAUGCGAGCGUUAUCCGGAUUCAUUGGGUUUAAAGGGUGCGUAGGCGGUUGCGCAAGUCAGUGGUGAAAUUUUGCAGCUCAACUGUAAAACUGCCAUUGAAACUGCGUAGCUAGAAUAUGGAUGAAGUGGGCGGAAUGUGUGGUGUAGCGGUGAAAUGCAUAGAUAUCACACAGAACACCGAUAGCGAAGGCAGCUCACUAAGUCAUUAUUGACGCUGAUGCACGAAAGUGUGGGGAUCAAACAGGAUUAGAUACCCUGGUAGUCCACACUGUAAACGAUGAUAACUAGCUGUUUGCGAUAUACAGUAAGUGGCUAAGCGAAAGCGAUAAGUUAUCCACCUGGGGAGUACGACCGCAAGGUUGAAACUCAAAGGAAUUGACGGGGGCCCGCACAAGCGGAGGAACAUGUG